GAAAUGCGAUACGUAGUGUGAAUUGCAGAAUUCCGUGAAUCAUCGAAUCUUUGAACGCAUAUUGCGGUCGAGGCCUCGGCUGAGACCAUGUCUGCCUCAGCGUCGGUGUGAACCCUCAUUCCCCCCUCCCGGGGUGGGAAUGGACCUGGCCUCCCCAUUGCUUGCGAUGGGCUGGCUGAAAUUCGGAGGUUUAAGCUUGGACCUGUAUGGCAACAGCAAGGUAGGUAGUUUUCUACUCCAGCUGAUGCUUUGGGCACUCGCACAGAACCCGCAGGAAUUCUCACCUUUUCGACCUGAGAUCAGGCAAGGCUACCCGCUGAACUUAA
rnacentral:misc_RNA from 1 species